rnacentral:rRNA from 1 species
UACGGAGGGUGCAAGCGUUAUCCGGAUUCACUGGGUUUAAAGGGUGCGUAGGAGGGCAGGUAAGUCAGUGGUGAAAUCUCCAAGCUUAACUUGGAAACUGCCGUUGAUACUAUCUGUCUUGAAUGUUGUGGAGGUGAGCGGAAUAUGUCAUGUAGCGGUGAAAUGCUUAGAUAUGACAUAGAACACCAAUUGCGAAGGCAGCUCACUACACAAUUAUUGACUCUGAGGCACGAGAGCGUGGGGAUCAAACAGG